UACGUAGGGGGCAAGCGUUAUCCGGAUUUACUGGGUGUAAAGGGGGCGCAGACGGCAGCGCAAGCCAGGAGUGAAAGCCCGGGGCCCAACCCCGGGACUGCUCUUGGAACUGCGCGGCUGGAGUGCAGGAGGGGCAGGCGGAAUUCCUGGUGUAGCGGUGAAAUGCGUAGAUAUCAGGAGGAACACCGGUGGCGAAGGCGGCCUGCUGGACCGCGACUGACGUUGAGGCUCGAAAGCGUGGGGAGCGAACAGG
rnacentral:rRNA from 1 species